UGAAUACGAGACGCUACGGCGUCGAAGCAGUCUAUGUCAUACUUCCAAGAAAAGCUCGCAAUGUCAUAAACAAAUAAUGCCUGUACCAUAUCCGACACAGGUGGGUAGGUAGAGUAUACUAAGGGGCGCGAGAUAACUCUCUCUAAGGAACUCGGCAAAAUGACUCCGUAACUUCGGGAGAAGGAGUGCCUUAUUUGUAAGGUUGCAAUAACAAGAUCCAAGCAACUGUUUAUCAAAAACACAGGUCUCCGCUAAGUCGUAAGACGAUGUAUGGGGGCUGACGCCUGCCCAGUGCCAGAAGGUUAAAGAAGUUGGUUAGCAUUCGCGAAGCUGAUAACUGAAGCCCUGGUGAACGGCGGCCGUAACUAUAACGGUCCUAAGGUAGCGAAAUUCCUUGUCGGGUAAGUUCCGACCCGCACGAAAGGCGUAAUGAUUUGGAUACUGUCUCGGAGAGGGGCUCGGUGAAAUAGACUUGUCUGUGAAGAUGCGGACUACCUGCACCUGGACAGAAAGACCCUAUGAAGCUUUACUGUAACUUGAAAUUGAAAUUGGACUUUAUUUGCGCAGCAUAGGUGGGAGGCGUUGAGAGUAUUCUUGCGGGAAUAUUGGAGCCAUCAGUGAGAUACCACUCUUGUAAUGUUAGAUUUCUAACUUUGGAUCAUUAUCUGGUCAAAGAACAGUUUCAGGCGGGCAGUUUGACUGGGGCGGUCGCCUCCCAAAUGGUAACGGAGGCGUACAAAGGUUUCCUCUGAACGGGUAGAAAUCGUAUCUAGAGUGUAAAGGCAUAAGGGAGCUUGACUGUGAGACCUACAAGUCGAGCAGGGACGAAAGUCGGUCUUAGUGAUCUGACGGUGCUGAGUGGAAAGGCCGUCACUCAACGGAUAAAAGUUACUCUAGGAUAACAGGCUGAUCUCCCCCAAGAGUUCACAUCGACGGGGAGGUUUGGCACCUCGAUGUCGGCUCAUCGCAUCCUGGGGCGGUAGUACGUCCCAAGGGUUGGGCUGUUCGCCCAUGAAAGCGGUACGCGAGCUGGGUUCAGAACGUCGUGAGACAGUUCGGUCCAUAUCCGGUGUAGGCGUUAGAAUAUUGAGAGGAGCCUUCUUUAGUACGAGAGGACCGAGAAGGACAUACCUCUGGUGUACCAGUUAUCGUGCCAACGGUAAACGCUGGGUAGCUAUGUAUGGAGAGGAUAACCGCUGAAAGCAUCUAAGUGGGAAGCCCACCUCAAGAUAAGUAUUCUCAUC
rnacentral:rRNA from 1 species